GAUGAACGCUAGCGAUAGGCUUAACACAUGCAAGUCGAGGGGCAGCAUGGUCUUAGCUUGCUAAGACUGAUGGCGACCGGCGCACGGGUGCGUAACGCGUAUGCAACUUGCCUCACAGAGGGGGAUAACCCGUCGAAAGACGGACUAAUACCGCGUACACUUGGGAUAGGGCAUCCUGACCCAAGGAAAUGAAAUUCGCUGUGAGAUAGGCAUGCGUCCCAUUAGCUAGUUGGUGAGGUAACGGCUCACCAAGGCGACGAUGGGUAGGGGAACUGAGAGGUUGAACCCCCACACUGGUACUGAGACACGGACCAGACUCCUACGGGAGGCAGCAGUGAGGAAUAUUGGUCAAUGGGCGAGAGCCUGAACCAGCCAAGUCGCGUGAAGGAUGACCGUCUUAUGGAUUGUAAACUUCUUUUAUACGGGAAUAACAAGAGUCACGUGUGGCUCCCUGCAUGUACCGUAUGAAUAAGCAUCGGCUAACUCCGUG
rnacentral:rRNA from 1 species